rnacentral:rRNA from 1 species
AUUGAACGCUGGCGGCAGGCCUAACACAUGCAAGUCGAGCGGAGCGGCGGACGGGUGAGUAUUGCCUAGGUAUCUGCCUGGUCGUGGGGGAUAACGUCCGGCAACGGGCGCUAAUACCGCAUACUAUCAGAUUAGCCUAGGUCGGAUUAGCUAGUUGGUGGGGUAAAGGCCUACCAAGGCGACGAUCCGUAACUGGUCUGAGAGGAUGAUCAGUCACACUGGAACUGAGACACGGUCCAGACUCCUACGGGAGGCAGCAGUGGGGAAUAUUGGACAAUGGGCGAAAGCCUGAUCCAGCCAUGCCGCGUGUAUGAAGAAGGCCUUCGGGUUGUAAAGUACUUUCAGCGGGGAGGCGGUACCCGCAGAAGAAGCACCGGCUAACUACGUGCCAGCCGCCGCGGUAAUAC